UCCCUGAUAUCUCAGUUGGUAAAGAAUCUGCCUGCAACGCAGGAAACCCCGGUUCGAUUCCUGGGUUGGGAA
rfam:TPA: Bos taurus chromosome 9, whole genome shotgun sequence.